AGGGCAGUAGCACAAUUGGUAGUGCAGUUGAUUCCAAAUCAACAGGUUGUGGGUUCGAGUCCUACCUGCCCUGCCA
rnacentral:tRNA from 1 species